rnacentral:rRNA from 1 species
GACGAACGCUGGCGGCGUGCUUAACACAUGCAAGUCGAACGGAAAGGCCCAGCUUGCUGGGUACUCGAGUGGCGAACGGGUGAGUAACACGUGGGUGAUCUGCCCUGAACUUCGGGAUAAGCCUGGGAAACUGGGUCUAAUACCGGAUAUGACCAUUGGUUGCAUGACUUUUGGUGGAAAGCUUUUGCGGUUCAGGAUGGGCCCGCGGCCUAUCAGCUUGUUGGUGAGGUAACGGCUCACCAAGGCGCCGACGGGUGGCCGACCUGAGAGGGUGAUCGGCCACACUGGGACUGAGGCACGGCCCAGACUCCUACGGGAGGCAGCAGUGGGGAAUAUUGCACAAUGGGCGCAAGCCUGAUGCAGCGACGCCGCGUGGGGGAUGACGGCCUUCGGGUUGUGAACCUCUUUCAGCAGGGAUGAAGCGAAAGUGACAGUACCUGCAGAAGAAGCACCGGCUAACUACGUGCCAGCCGCCGCCGUAAAAC